CGCUGGCUCGCUCGCUCGCCCCCCAUUGAAUUUGAACGCACCCAAUUCCCUAUUUGCAUCUCUCUCCUUCACUCCCAAAAACUCCCUCCCUCAUUUUAAUCACCUUUUUAACCCAAAAACCCACGAAUUUUACCCGCCAAAUACCUCAAAAAUCCCUUCUUUUCAAACCCAACGGCUACGCCUCUCCCCCUUAGGGCUUCUCCGGACCCCCUCCCUCCCUUCCCGGCCCCUCGACACGACGUCGUCACGGGCCCUCCCUUCCCUCGCGCUUUGAAUCAUGGAUCUGGCCGCAGACGAGCCGCCUAGGGUUGAGAAGAGGCCGAUUCAGAACGGCGCCGGCGGAGAAUUGGGGCCCCAGCUGAGCAAGAAGCCCAGAUUGGGGCCCGAUUGCGAGAGGGACUUGAAGAGAGUGGCGGAGAUUGUGCUGGCUUUGUCGACCAUGGCGAAAAUUCGAGGCGGAGAGAAGCCGACGGAGCCGGAGAUUGGGCUUAUGGAGGAGGCUAGGGCAAAGCUGGUGGAGCUGUGCGAGGGUUUGCCGCCCAAGGAGAUUGUGGCGAAGGAUGCGAUUUCGGCUGUGAUUGAGGAUUUGGGGCUUAAUGCCAAGCUCAAUGAACAGAGAUUAGGGUUUCGGGGUCCCAAGUUGACGAUUGCGGAGAAGUUUGCACUCACUAAGAGGAAGAUGGAUGAAUCCAAGAAAUACGCUGCGCAAACCGCUGCAUAUCCAUCUCAACCAUUAAAAACAAGCUUCAAUGUAGCAGCUGAAAACCAUGGGUUGCCACAUACUGUUCGUAUUUCAACAGAUAACCCAAACCAUGCACCUAUUUCAACUGGUGGUUUCGCAGCGUCUCCUCUUGUUCAUGUUUCCACAGUAACUCCUACAUCUGCACAGUAUCAGUUGCCCACCAGCGAAAUUAGAACAACUAUGGUUUCUGGCAGUGUGCCUGGUAGUCAUCUGGGAAGAGAUUCAUCUUCCCCAGCAUUUCCUAGAGGUGAAAGAGUGCAAUUAAGAACUGAUGGAGGAUCCAAUGGAUCUUCUUAUGCAUAUCAAGUACAAGCAAAUUCUUCGGCAAAUCAUCCACCGGUUAGUGCUCCAACUUGGCCUACACAAACUCAAGGUGGACCAGAAAACAAGGUGCCAAAUCAUACUUCUGUCAAGGUUGAAGGAACCACUGGUAUGAGUAAACCAUCAGUGACUCCUCUAGCAGCACGAGAUCAGAAUUCUAGGUCAUUUGCCUCUCAACCAUCUUCUGGACAUUUGCCUGGUGGACACCAGUCUUCACAAAAGAUUCGCUUUGUUCAAGCUUCUUCAGUUCCUAAUAAUCACACUGAAAUUGCGAGAAUUAUUCAGAAAUUAUUGCAACCACAGCUGCCUGAUCAUCCCACAUGGAUCCCUCCAUCAAGGGAUUAUAUGAGUAAGGCUUUGACUUGCCAAACUUGCCAGAUUAGCAUCAAUGAGGUAGAUAAUGUUCUUAUUUGUGAUGCAUGUGAGAAAGGAUAUCACAUUACGUGUGCACAAUCACCUAACCAGAGAGGAAUUCCUCGAGGUGAAUGGCACUGCACAAGAUGCUUGUCACUAAGCAAUGGAAAGCCUUUGCCUCCUAAGUAUGGGCGUGUUAUGAGAAGCAAUAUACAAUUAAAAGCCGGCACGAUCCCUUCCAGUACAGUCGCUUCCAGCACAGUCCCCUCCAGCACAGUCCCUUCCAGUACGAUCGCUUCCAGCACAGCCCCUUCCAGUACUGUCCCUUCCAGCAUGGCUGUAGUUCAGAUGUCCUCAGGGAAUAAAGUGGGAGCUUUAGAUCCAAAGGUCUAUGAGCAGAAGAUAAAUGCACAUGUAAGCUCUGUUUUCCAGAAUCCUGCUCAUUUGGUUGGUGUGGGCACAAACAAUAUUAAGUCGGCAACAGAUUCAAAAGUUUCAUUUGCAAUGCAAGGGAAUAAUUUACCAUCCAGCAGUGUAAAUGCGGAUGAGAAACCUCUUUCUGGAAGUUUCCUGUUAAGUGAAACAUCAUCUCAACAAAUAGGUAAUUCUGAAUUAUCUACAUCGGACAAGAGACCUAUGGAAUCAAGAGCAGAACCUUCUUCUGAUUUGUCAAACAAAGAUGCUGAUCCCAAGAUUUCAACUGCAAGUGAAACUGAAGGGACUAAUUUUCCAUCAAGCAGUAAAACUACGGAUGAGAAAAUUCUUUCUGGAAGUUUCCAGUCUGGUGAAAGGACAUCUCAACAGAGAGAUAUUUCUGAAUCAUUCAAAUCUGACAAGAGACCUUCUGAAUCAAGAGCAGAAUCACCUACUGAUUUACCCAACAAAGAUUCUGAUCCAAAUAUUUUAAGUGCAACAGAAACACAAGGGAAUAAUUUCCCAUCAAGCAGUCAAAGUACAGAUGAGAAACCUGUUUCUGGAAGUUUCAUGUCUAGUGAAAGAUCCUCUCGAGAAAUAGAUAAUUCUGAAUCAUCUAGACUAUUUGAAUCAAGCACAGAGCCUCCUGCUGAUUUAUCCAACAAAGAUGCUGAUUCAAAAAUUUCAAAUGCAAGAGAAAUGCAAGGUAAUAAUUUCUCAACAAGCAGCAAGGGUAUAAAUGAGAAACCGCUUCCUGGAAGUUUCCCGUCUAGCGAAAGUUCAUCUCAACAAACUGAUAAUUCUGAAUUAUCUAUAUUAGAUAAGAUACCUUAUGAAUCAAAAACAGAGCCUCCUGCUGAUUUACCCAAUGAAGAUAUUGAUAAGUCUGUUCCUUCUCAGCCAGUUUCUAACUCAGAAGUUGUUGAUCGAGCAGGAGCUCCAAACUGUGGAGAAAAUUCUAGCUGUUCUAUUAGAGAUGACCAAGGUCUUGCGCAAGAACAUACUAGUGAAGGUCUUGUAGUCAGUGGUGGGGCACUAGAGCAUACUGGAUUUACUUCUGAUGGCUUGCGACCUGUUGAAUGGAUCGGUGAUUCAAUUCAAGAUGUCAGUGAAAAAAACUUCUAUCGUUCUUGUCGCAUUGAUGGAGUAACAUAUGAGCUACAAGAACAUGCUCUCUUCCAGUCUAGUCAUGGCAAAUUGAUACCCUCUAAGCUUCAGUCAAUGUGGGAGGACAGGAAAACUGGGUCAAAGUGGGUUAUAGUUAACAGUUGCUACUUUCCUAGUGACUUACCAGAGCAUGUUAGUCGUCCAUCUACACCUGAAAGUAAUGAGGUGUACGAAUCUAAUCAUGAAACAACUGUAAUGGCGGGCUUAAUUCAAGGUCCAUGUGAAGUUCUUCCUCCUGCUAAGUUCAGUGAAGAAAUUGAAAGACGGAGCCAAUUAGGACAUGAUACAAAUAAUGAACUACGACCAGUUUUCCUGUGCAAAUGGAAUUAUGAUGAGUUCAAAGGGUUAUUGCAGACUGUUUCCCAGUAAUCCUGUUAUAAGUGUAUUUUUGGUGGUUUCCUAUUCUUUUUGGUUAUGGCAACUCGAUCAUGCUCUUUUUGAUCAGGUAUCUGAAAGGUAGCCUGUUGCAAAUGGGGCAUACGUGGCUAAUCUGCACAGGGAGUUCCAUAUUCAUCUCCUGUAUGUAAACUAGGGUAUAUUUGUUUUGUAUUCAAACUAGCAAUUGCAAGUGUGUGCACAAUAGCAAUUCAACGCAGUCUUUCAUUCCCCAUUUUUUUAUCGUCAUUCCUUCUAUUACAGUAUGAAAUUUAGUGGAAUCAAUUGAAUUAUAAAAUGACUCUUCUUCA